rnacentral:lncRNA from 1 species
CCUGUGCACUCUGCCGUGUGUGUUAUACCUCGAUACGCUUUUUUAAACAAGAGAAGAAACACGCACGCCUAGAUUAGAGCGCGGAAAGCGACGCGGAGCGGAGGGGGCACCUGGAGGGACCCGCAUCUCCCCCGUCCUGGCUCUCCGUCUCUAUCUGCGGCGUGACAGCCGAUUCCGGGAGCUGUGCUGCUACGUUUUUGCUCCUGGCCGACGGAGGAGCCCUGCGCCCGGAAGAGCAGCCCCCCAGCCUUUAGACAUCACCGAAGCAGAACCUUCUCCCACAUCCUUCCAGAUCCCGGCCGGGUUCGGGAAGCAUUCACGGUCCCUCCCGGACGCCACAAGGCCAGAGUUUCCGUCUGUUUUGUUUGCCACAAAGACCCUGUAUCCAGACAGCACCUGACACACAGCGACACUCAAUAAUUUUUAAUGAGAUAAACUAUUCAGGGGAUGUUAGCUCCGGAGAAGUGUCCAUGACUGUUCCUGCCUCCGCCCGGCUGACCGGCUGACCUGGCCCGUUCCCCAGGCGAGGACGACGUCGUCCGGGGAGCUGGGGCAUCGCUGGUCCUGACCCAACACCCAGGGC